rnacentral:lncRNA from 1 species
CAACCAUCAGGCCUCCCAGAGAGAAUCGAGGAACUGAAAUCUCCCAUAUCACCACAUCCAGACAAUGAGACAUGGCUGCUGCCUGUUGACAAACUCCUCUUCUUUAUACCUCCCGAAUUUCUGUUUUCCUGCAUAUGGUUACGUCCAAUAGGUCAGCGGCAUAGUGGCGCCCCAGAACACGGACUUCGAGGACGUGAACGAAGGUCUGCUGGAGCAGAGGAACUGAAUUUGACAAGGCAAACGGGGACCCCAGGACGAGUCUGCCGGCAGUGGAUAUAAGACUUAAACGGAAACAUCAGCUCUUCCUGGGUCUUGAGUCUGCCAGCCUUUAAACUGGAACUACACCAUUGGUACUCCUGGGUCUUCCUCCUGACAACUCACCUAGCAGAUAUUGAGACUUGUCAACCUACACAAUCAUGUGAGCCGA